GAUGAACGCUAGCUACAGGCUUAACACAUGCAAGUCGUGGGGCAGCGGAUACUUAGCUUGCUAAGUAUGCCGGCGACCGGCGCACGGGUGAGUAACGCGUACCGAACCUGCCCAUCACACAGGGAUAGGCUUGCGAAAGCAAGAUUAAUACCUGAUGGUCUCAAUUGUAUGCAUGUAUGAUUGAGUAAAGCCUUCGGGCGGUGAUGGAUGGCGGUGCGUCCCAUUAGGAAGUUGGCGGGGUAACGGCCCACCAAUCCUUCGAUGGGUAGGGGUUCUGAGAGGAAGGUCCCCCACAUUGGAACUGAGAUACGGUCCAAACUCCUACGGGAGGCAGCAGUGAGGAAUAUUGGUCAAUGGGCGAGAGCCUGAACCAGCCAAGUAGCGUGCGGGAUGAAGGCCCUUGUGGUCGUAAACCGCUUUUAUCAGUGAAUAAAGUGCAUCACGUGUGGUGUCAUUGCAGGUAGCUGAAGAAAAAGGACCGGCUAAUUCCGUGCCAGCAGCCGCGGUAAUACGGAAGGUCCGGGCGUUAUCCGGAAUUAUUGGGUUUAAAGGGAGCGCAGGCGGGAGUAUAAGUCAGCUGUUAAAUAUCAGGGCCCAACUCUGUUAUGCAGUUGAAACUAUAUUUCUUGAGUACGCACAGGGAUGGCGGAAUUCAGGGUGUAGCGGUGAAAUGCUUAGAUAUCCUGAAGAACUCCGAUCGCGAAGGCAGCCAUCCGGAGCGUAACUGACGCUGAGGCUCGAAGGUGCGGGUAUCGAACAGG
rnacentral:rRNA from 1 species